rnacentral:rRNA from 1 species
CAAGGUUGAAACUCAAAGGAAUUGACGGGGACCCGCACAACCGGUGGAGCGUCUGGUUUAAUUCGAUGCUAACCGAAUAACCUCACCAGGGUUUGACAUGCGGUGUGUCGGGUAUGAAAGUACCUUAGGCUAUGAUUAUUCAUAGCCGCGCCGCACAGGUGGUGCAUGGUCGUCGUCAGCUCGUGUCGUGAGAUGUUGGGUUAAGUCCCGCAACGAGCGCAACCCUUGUCCUGUGUUACCAGCGGGUAAUGCCGGGUACUCACAGGAGACUGCCGGCGAUAAGCCGGAGGAAGGAGGGGAUGACGUCAGAUCAGUAUGCCCUUUAUGCCCUGGGCUACACAGGCGCUACAGUGGCAGGGACAAUGGGCUGCAACGCUGUAAGGCGGAGCUAAUCCCUUAAACCCUGUCGUGGUGCAGAUUGAGGGUUGCAACUCACCCUCAUGAAGGCGGAAUCGGUAGUAAUGGCGAAUCAGCAAUGUCGCCGUGAAUACGUUCCCGGGUCUUGUACACACCGCCCGUCACGCCUUGGGAGUCGGGUUCAUCGGAAGUCCCCGGGCUAACCUACAAAGGAGGCAGGGGCCGAUGAUGGGCCUGAUGACUGGGGCGAAGUCGUAACAAGGUAGC